UACGUAGGGGGCAAGCGUUGUCCGGAUUUAUUGGGCGUAAAGAGCGUGUAGGCGGCCUGGAAGGUCAGCUGUGAAAACUCGAGGCUCAACCUCGAGACGUCGGUUGAAACCACCUGGCUAGAGUCCGGAAGAGGAGAGUGGAAUUCCCGGUGUAGCGGUGAAAUGCGCAGAUAUCGGGAAGAACACCCGUGGCGAAGGCGGCUCUCUGGGACGGUACUGACGCUGAGACGCGAAAGCGUGGGAAGCGAACAGG
rnacentral:rRNA from 1 species